UACGUAGGGUGCGAGCGUUAAUCGGAAUUACUGGGCGUAAAGGGCUCGUAGGCGGCCAACUAAGUCAGACGUGAAAUCCCUCGGCUUAACCGGGGAACUGCGUCUGAUACUGGAUGGCUUGAGUUUGGGAGAGGGAUGCGGAAUUCCGCGUGUAGCAGUGAAAUGCGUAGAUAAUGCGGAGGAACACCGAUGGCGAAGGCAAUCCCCUGGACCUGUACUGACGCUCAUGCACGAAAGCGUGGGGAGCAAACGAGGAUUAGAGUACCCGGGUA
rnacentral:rRNA from 1 species